AGCAAGCACCGGCUAACUCCGUGCCAGCAGCCGCGGUAAUACGGAGGGUGCAAGCGUUACUCGGAAUCACUGGGCGUAAAGCGCGCGCAGGCGGCUAUUUAAGUUGGAUGUGAAAGCCUACGGCUCAACCGUAGAACUGCAUCCAAAACUAUUUAGCUAGCGUGUGGGAGAGGAAGAUGGAAUUAGUUGUGUAGGGGUAAAAUCCGUAGAGAUAACUAGGAAUACCAAAAGCGAAGGCAAUCUUCUGGAACACUACUGACGCUGAGGCGCGAAGGCGUGGGGAGCAAACAGGAUUAGAUACCCUGGUAGUCCACGCAGUAAACGAUGAAUGUUAGUCGUCGGGUAGCUAGUCUAUUCGGUGAUGCAGCUAACGCAUUAAACAUUCCGCCUGGGGAGUACGGUCGCAAGAUUAAAACUCAAAGGAAUAGACGGGGACCCGCACAAGUGGUGGAGCAUGUGGUUUAAUUCGAAGAUACGCGAAGAACCUUACCUAGCCUUGACAUAUAUUAGAACUCCGCAGAGAUGCAGAGGUGCCUUCGGGAGCUUUUAUACAGGUGCUGCACGGCUGCCGUCAGCUCGUGUCGUGAGAUGUUGGGUUAAGUCCCGCAACGAGCGCAACCCUCGUCACUAGUUACUAACGGUUCGGCCGAGGACUCUAGUGAGACUGCCUUCGUAAGGAGGAGGAAGGUGAGGACGACGUCAAGUCAUCAUGGCCCUUACGGCUAGGGCAACACACGUGCUACAAUGGCCAGGACAAUGAGACGCAAUACCGCGAGGUGGAGCAAAUCUAUAAACCUGGUCUCAGUUCGGAUUGUAGUCUGCAACUCGACUACAUGAAGCUGGAAUCACUAGUAAUCGUAGAUCAGCUAUGCUACGGUGAAUACGUUCCCGGGUCUUG
rnacentral:rRNA from 1 species